AUGAUUGGAGGAUGGCAGAAAAUAAUCAAGGAUUGUGACCAGCACAAGAGAGUAUGCGAUUAAGUGCUAAAGGACCAGGCACAACUUUAAGGACUCAAAAUUUCAGAGAAGGGAAUCAGAGAAACUUGCAGUGUUCACAGAGUUUGAGAGAAACUGUAUUCAAGUUGCUGAAACCAAGAAGCUACACUCACGAGUCUCACCUAAACUCGAAUCUGAUUUAGAUGACAUCAUCCUGGACUUUGAGUUGAUGAAACCUUGGAGGUCUUGGGAGUAAAGCAAGUGUGAUUUGCAUAUGAUGGAUAUGAAUUGUAAUGGCCAGAGCAUGGCUGUGAGAUGAAAACUCCCAUUUUAGGGAACCAAGACUGAAUUCCAUAAUUUACAUGGAUGUUUGGAAGGUGUCUGCAACUUAAUCUGUGUUCGUUUCUGAGAUGUUGGGCAACUCCUUCUUGGAAGAUGUGGUAAUGGUCUCUUCGAAAAGAAAAUAAUCAUCUGAGUUUUGGCCAAAAUAGUUGAUCGGAUUACCUAUGAAAAUGACUCUCACCCAACUACAAGAAUGUUAUGAUGUAGAAACUCUAAAUAUAUGAGUAAUUAACUAUACAACACUCCAUCCCCAUGUGAAAAUCUUUAAUCUUUUAAGAUACUGAAAUUUUGUGUAUGUCUCAUAAUUUUCUGUAUAUGGUCAAUGAGUUUUGCCUUAGCCAUAAGUGGUCUGUCUGAAAUCUUCUCUAUUAUUUGUGCAUUUUCUUCCUGAUGUACCAAGCCUAGUCUGUUUGUUUUUUCCUAAGAGAAAAGCAGAUGAUUCAACUGUGUAUUUCUCAGUGUUGAUAUUGUGGUUUGAGGUAUUUCAUAAUCUUGAGUAAAAUCUUGUCAAUUUUAUGCUAUGCCUUGUGGGAACAUAUUUUUACUUUUAAGUCUCUUUGGCAAGUGGAGCUUCCUUUGUGUUUCCUCACCAAAUGUAUUCCCCAUUGUUUUCUGAUUAAUUCUUUUUCAGAAUGUUUACUCCUUCUUACCUCAAUGUCAUUACUUUUCAGUCUUGGCUUUGGGUAAACCUAGGACAAGAAUUGGAUAUCCAAAGCCAAUUUCAAUAUAAAAACUAUAAUAUCUAUCAAAAUCUAUGUAAAAUCCUGUGUAUAUUUCUCUUCUUUGUUGAACAGGGGCUUAUAAUCAUGUAGGUAAAUACACGUGGUUUUGAUUUCAGCACUGAUUACUGAAGAUUUGUCUUCCAUUCUUCUGGGCCAGGCCCAUACACAACCAUAGUUAGAAGUAAAAACUAUUUGUUAUACCUGGAAUGCCUUUCCUUUCAAUCUCUGAAUGUCUAAAAUUACUUUUUCUUUGAAGACCACCUCAGGUGACCCUACUGUGGGGAAAAUGCCUGAAUUAUCUUUGUAAUCCCAGCUCAGCCACUUAAAGAUUGUGUAAGUUUAGUGUCAGCAUAUUACUUAAGUUCUUUUAGAUUUAGUUUCCUCAUAUGUAAGCUGGGGAUAAUAAUACCUACCUCAUAGAAAAUGAAUGAGAAUCAAGUUAUAUAAUAUAUGAACAACACUUGACACUGUGUGUGAACACUCAAUACAUGUAAAUCAUUAUUAUUAGCAAAAUGAUUAUUAGGUUCUCAUGCUAAUCCACAAUUUUUAUUGGCAGAUAUCCAUUAGUUUAUAGUUAAUGUUAUUCAUAAUCUUUUCUUCAUAUUCAAAUAGGAAGAGAUGACUUCUCAAUCUAGUUAAUCCUGGAUGUGUAUUUCUCUUAAUUUAUUGAGUGUAAAAUGCUUAUUUAUAUACAUACAAUUUCCCUUAUUAGUGAACAUCUAGAAGGCAGAAUGGUACUUCAUUUCUUUCUGUAUGUUUAGCACCAAGGACAGUACCUGGCACAUAGAAGAUACAUAUUAAAAACAAAUAAAACAACUCUUAAUGGAUCUCAUUUUAAAAAAAUUCUCGGUUAAUUAUAAAGGCUCUAGUAAACCAAAUAAUUGUAUGUUAACUUAUUUACUUUUAUUACUGUGUUUAUUUUCUCCAACUGCUUCAUCAUACAAAGUAAACACCUGAAUGUAAGCUGCAUGAGGGCAAGAGCUGUGUCUUGUUUACUGCUCUCAAGAACAUUUGAGCAAAGUGCCUGGCACAUGGCAGACACUCAAUAAGUUACAAUUAAUACUCAAUGUAUGAACUGAUCUAUACUUAGAAUUGACUAAGAAGAAUAAGUCUUACACAGACUCAGUCUCUGAGAACUUGAAAAUCUAAGUUUGCAUAUCUCUGCUGUUGUGUUUUCAGGUUACUCAGUAGAAAACCAAGUUAUUUACACAUCCUCAAGUGUCUCAAGGUUAAAUCUUCCAUGCAUAAAAUAUCUGGGCGAUUGAUUGUGUUUCUUACUUUGCUCCUAAGUAUGUUAGCAUCAUAUAGGCAUAGCCUAAGCCAGACCAAAAUGAAUUCAUUGAUUGACUCAACAAAUGUUUAUGGAUCUCAGAUAUUAUAUGGAGAUGGUGUCAAACAACGGGAUGUGCUAUGGAAUUUGAUGUGGAGGCUGAAGGAAAGAGGAAUCUAGGCGGACUCACAGAUUUUUUGGCUUGAGUAACUUGGACAUUAUGGUGAGUUAUUGAACGGAAGUCUAGGGAUUGUUCAACCCCUGAAAACAGACCACAUCCCAUUGCAGGAGGAAAUUUGG
rnacentral:lncRNA from 10 species